GACAGAGGGGGCAAGCGUUGCUCGGAAUUACUGGGCGUAAAGGGCGCGUAGGCGGGAUGGCAAGUCGGUCGUGAAAGCCUUCGGCUCAACCGAAGAACGUCGGCCGAUACUGCCGUUCUUGAGGGAGGCAGAGGAGACUGGAAUUCCCGGUGUAGCGGUGAAAUGUGUAGAGAUCGGGAGGAACACCGAUGGCGAAGGCAGCCAUCUGGACCGACACUGACGCUGAGGCGCGAAAGCGUGGGGAGCAAACAGG
rnacentral:rRNA from 1 species